rnacentral:sRNA from 1 species
UAAUACUGAUCUGUUGAAAGCUGGCAGAGGCUAGUGAAGCCAUUCUGGUUGAACCAUUCUCCUAUUUGGCUGUGUGGUUCCAGGUGCUGGUGCUGUGGAAGUGGCGAUGGCAGAAGCCCUGAUUAAACAUAAGCCCAGUGUAAAGGGCAGGGCACAGCUUGGAGUCCAAGCAUUUGCUGAUGCAUUGCUCAUUAUUCCCAAGGUUCUUGCUCAGAACUCUGGUUUUGACCUUCAGGAAACAUUAGUUAAAAUUCAAGCAGAACAUUCAGAAUCAGGUCAGCUUGUGGGUGUGGACCUGAACACAGGUGAGCCAAUGGUAGCAGCAGAAGUAGGCGUAUGGGAUAACUAUUGUGUAAAGAAACAGCUUCUUCACUCCUGCACUGUGAUUGCCACCAACAUUCUCUUGGUUGAUGAGAUCAUGCGAGCUGGAAUGUCUUCUCUGAAAGGUUGAAUUGAAGCUUCCUCUGUAUCUGAAUCUUGAAGACUGCAAAGUGAUCCUGAGGAAUACAGCUGUGGAAUUUUUGUCCAAGCUUCAAAUAAUUUUCAAAGGAAUUUUCCCAUAUGAAAAAAGGAGAGAACACUGGCAUCUGUUGAAAUUCAGAAGUUCUGAAAUUACAGUAUUUUUAAAAAUUGCACCGAAGUGUAUACACAUAAAGCAGGUCUUU